rnacentral:lncRNA from 1 species
CACGGAUCUUACUUUGUGCCAUUUUCGGGUUGAUUUUAACUCGUUUAUUUCAGAGCUCUUUGCCUCACCUUUAUUUUUAGAUUUAGUCGUGUUUGCUGAAAUAUCAGUUGCUUCUUCUGUGAAUGAAGUGUGGGAACUUGCUCUCGUCGCAGUUAAUGAAAUCAGGAAAAUAAAAAGAUCAAAAGGGUUGGGGAUGGGAGAAUGAAGAGGAAUGUAGACAGAUAGUCUAGGGCCACUCACUGGCUUUUGGCGAUUCUUAGUUCCUUAAGCUGAUUAAAACAAUGUGAGGAAAUGUGGGCUUCUCCACUUUUUAGGAAGAGGUAAUAACGGGCAUUUUACGUGGCGCCACAGCGUUUGUUUUCAAAGUUUGAACGUGAAUGUAGCAAGCAUAAUUUUAUUAAUGAAAAUAUUCUUUAGACAACUGUUAAUAUUGACGAAAGAAGAGAAACAGAGACACGGAAGCUAAAGAGUUGGGAAUCCUAAAGGUCAAAGGAUGUUUCUCAGUUACUCUGAUGUCCUGUGUUUUCUUUCAGUUGGUACAAAAUCUGUUUCUUGGAAAUGACACUUUUUUGGGGCUAAAAUACAUGCUGUUUGAAAUACAUGCAACAGAAAUGAAUAUUUGGCUUCAAACAUGCAGGUUUUAAGAACUAUCCACACUCGUUUUUAUUUGGAGAUGUUCAGUCAGUGGAUAACAAAGUGACUUUUCUCACCUGCAGUUUUUG